rnacentral:rRNA from 1 species
UCUUCCCUCUUUCUUCGUGCCUAAUACAUGCAAGUCGAGCGAACGGACGAGAAGCUUGCUUCUCUGAUGUUAGCGGCGGACGGGUGAGUAACACGUGGAUAACCUACCUAUAAGACUGGGAUAACUUCGGGAAACCGGAGCUAAUACCGGAUAAUAUUUUGAACCGCAUGGUUCAAAAGUGAAAGACGGUCUUGCUGUCACUUAUAGAUGGAUCCGCGCUGCAUUAGCUAGUUGGUAAGGUAACGGCUUACCAAGGCAACGAUGCAUAGCCGACCUGAGAGGGUGAUCGGCCACACUGGAACUGAGGCACGGUCCAGACUCCUACGGGAGGCAGCAGUAGGGAAUCUUCCGCAAUGGGCGAAAGCCUGACGGAGCAACGCCGCGUGAGUGAUGAAGGUCUUCGGAUCGUAAAACUCUGUUAUUAGGGAAGAACAUAUGUGUAAGUAACUGUGCACAUCUUGACGGUACCUAAUCAGAAAGCCACGGCUAACUACGUG